CUGUACCUACGGGGCGCAGCAGUGAGGAAUAUUGGUCAAUGGUCGGGAGACUGAACCAGCCAAGCCGCGUGAGGGAGGAAGGUACAGAGUAUCGUAAACCUCUUUUGCCAGGGAACAAAGACUGGGACGCGUCCCCGGAUGAGUGUACCUGAAGAAAAAGCAUCGGCUAACUCCGUGCCAGCAGCCGCGGUAAUACGGAGGAUGCGAGCGUUAUCCGGAUUUAUUGGGUUUAAAGGAUGCGCAGGCGGUCUGUUAAGUCAGCGGUCAAAGCCCGGGGCUCAACCCCGGCCCGCCGUUGAAACUGG
rnacentral:rRNA from 1 species